rnacentral:rRNA from 1 species
AUUGAACGCUGGCGGCAGGCUUAACACAUGCAAGUCGAGCGGGGAAAGGUAGCUUGCUACCUGACCUAGCGGCGGACGGGUGAGUAAUGCUUAGGAAUCUGCCUAUUAGUGGGGGACAACAUUCCGAAAGGAAUGCUAAUACCGCAUACGCCCUACGGGGGAAAGCAGGGGAUCUUCGGACCUUGCGCUAAUAGAUGAGCCUAAGUCAGAUUAGCUAGUUGGUGGGGUAAAGGCCUACCAAGGCGACGAUCUGUAGCGGGUCUGAGAGGAUGAUCCGCCACACUGGGACUGGGACACGGCCCAGACUCCUACGGGAGGCAGCAGUGGGGAAUAUUGGACAAUGGGCGAAAGCCUGAUCCAGCCAUGCCGCGUGUGUGAAGAAGGCCUUUUGGUUGUAAAGCACUUUAAGCGAGGAGGAGGCUACUUAGAUUAAUACUCUAGGAUAGUGGACGUUACUCGCAGAAUAAGCACCGGCUAACUCUGUGCCAGCAGCCGCGGUAAUACAGAGGGUGCGAGCGUUAAUCGGAUUUACUGGGCGUAAAGCGUGCGUAGGCGGCUUUUUAAGUCGGAUGUGAAAUCCCUGAGCUUAACUUAGGAAUUGCAUUCGAUACUGAGAAGCUAGAGUAUGGGAGAGGAUGGUAGAAUUCCAGGUGUAGCGGUGAAAUGCGUAGAGAUCUGGAGGAAUACCGAUGGCGAAGGCAGCCAUCUGGCCUAAUACUGACGCUGAGGUACGAAAGCAUGGGGAGCAAACAGGAUUAGAUACCCUGGUAGUCCAUGCCGUAAACGAUGUCUACUAGCCGUUGGGGCCUUUGAGGCUUUAGUGGCGCAGCUAACGCGAUAAGUAGACCGCCUGGGGAGUACGGUCGCAAGACUAAAACUCAAAUGAAUUGACGGGGGCCCGCACAAGCGGUGGAGCAUGUGGUUUAAUUCGAUGCAACGCGAAGAACCUUACCUGGUCUUGACAUAGUAAGAACUUUCCAGAGAUGGAUUGGUGCCUUCGGGAACUUACAUACAGGUGCUGCAUGGCUGUCGUCAGCUCGUGUCGUGAGAUGUUGGGUUAAGUCCCGCAACGAGCGCAACCCUUUUCCUUAUUUGCCAGCGGGUUAAGCCGGGAACUUUAAGGAUACUGCCAGUGACAAACUGGAGGAAGGCGGGGACGACGUCAAGUCAUCAUGGCCCUUACGACCAGGGCUACACACGUGCUACAAUGGUCGGUACAAAGGGUUGCUACCUAGCGAUAGGAUGCUAAUCUCAAAAAGCCGAUCGUAGUCCGGAUUGGAGUCUGCAACUCGACUCCAUGAAGUCGGAAUCGCUAGUAAUCGCGGAUCAGAAUGCCGCGGUGAAUACGUUCCCGGGCCU